rnacentral:rRNA from 1 species
UAGGGAAUCUUCCACAAUGGGCGCAAGCCUGAUGGAGCAACACCGCGUGAGUGAAGAAGGGUUUCGGCUCGUAAAGCUCUGUUGUUAAAGAAGAACAUGUAUGAGAGUAACUGUUCAUACGUUGACGGUAUUUAACCAGAAAGUCACGGCUAACUACGUACCAG